UACGUAGGUGGCAAGCGUUGUCCGGAUUUAUUGGGUUUAAAGGGUGCGUAGGCGGUCCCAUAAGUCAGUGCUGAAAUAUCCCGGCUUAACCGGGAGGGUGGCAUUGAUACUGUGGGACUUGAGUAAAGUUGAGGUUGGCGGAAUUGACGGUGUAGCGGUGAAAUGCGUAGAUAUCGGAAGGAACAUCAGUGGCGAAAGCGGCUUCCUGGUCCAGCACCGACGUUCAGGCACGAAAGCGUGGGGAGCAAACAGG
rnacentral:rRNA from 1 species